GGCCCGAAUUUGGAGCGGAGUAGAUUAGUAGGAUCGGCUGACCCUACUAAACUACUCUGCUCCAGAUUUGUGUCC
rfam:Haemonchus placei strain MHpl1 genome assembly, scaffold: HPLM_scaffold0000043